rnacentral:rRNA from 1 species
UACGGGAGGCAGCAGUGGGGAAUAUUGCACAAUGGGCGCAAGCCUGAUGCAGCCAUGCCGCGUGUAUGAAAAAGGCCUUCGGGUUGUAAAGUACUUUCAGUCGUGAGGAAGGUGUUAAGGUUAAUAACCUUAGCAAUUGACGUUAGCGACAGAAGAAGCACCGGCUAACUCCGUGCCAGCAGCCGCGGUAAUACGGAGGGUGCGAGCGUUAAUCGGAAUUACUGGGCGUAAAGGGCACGCAGGCGGUUAAUUAAGUUGGAUGUGAAAUCCCCGGGCUUAACCUGGGAAUGGCAUUCAAGACUGGUUAGCUAGAGUCUUGUAGAGGGGGUAGAAUUCCAUGUGUAGCGGUGAAAUGCGUAGAGAUGUGGAGGAAUACCGGUGGCGAAGGCGGCCCCUGGGACAAAGGCUGACGCUCAUGUGCGAAAGCGUGGGGAGCGAAACAGGGAUUAGAUACC